CUUCUGCGCCGCCUCCAGCUCAUUGCGGUCUGGAAGGGAAGACGAUGCAAGAUGCCCUCCUCUAUUUUGCAGCAGAACUCAUUGGUUAUCAGCGUCAGUAGAAAGAGAAGCAAGUUGGUGGCUCUUCCCCAUCUCUGGUGGCCAUGUUCGACAGCAGCUUCCUGAUUGCUGCCCUUCCCAAGACCAACUCUGCACAAAAUGAUUAUCAAGUGGACCUCCUUGUACAAGGCCUAGUAUGACGGUGCAUUCAACCACUGAAUAUUAAGUCUGCUCACACCCCCUAUAAGCGCA